ACCUUAUGGUGUGGGCAUUGCCUUAACAAUUGCUUGAGUCUUUCCCAAGCAUAAAACAAAGACUCAUCAUGUCCUUGUUUAAAUGAAGUGGUUUCAUUUCUCAUUUU